rnacentral:rRNA from 1 species
CAGCCCUAAACGAUGCGCGUUAGGUGUAUCGGUGACCACGAGUCACCGAGGUGCCGAAGGGAAACCGUGAAACGUGCCGCCUGGGAAGUACGGUCGCAAGGCUGAAACUUAAAGGAAUUGGCGGGGGAGCACAACAACGGGUGGAGCUUGCGGUUUAAUUGGAUUCAACGCCGGAAAUCUUACCGGGACCGACAGCAACAUGAAGGCCAAGCUGAAGACUUUGCCGGAUUAGCUGAGAGGAGGUGCAUGGCGUGUGACUGU